AACGAACGCUGGCGGCAGGCUUAACACAUGCAAGUCGAGCGCCCCGCAAGGGGAGCGGCAGACGGGUGAGUAACGCGUGGGAACGUACCCUUUGCUACGGAAUAGCUCCGGGAAACUGGAAUUAAUACCGUAUGUGCCCUACGGGGGAAAGAUUUAUCGGCAAAGGAUCGGCCCGCGUUGGAUUAGCUAGUUGGUGGGGUAAUGGUCUACCAAGGCGACGAUCCAUAGCUGGUCUGAGAGGAUGAUCAGCCACAUUGGGACUGAGACACGGCCCAAACUCCUGCGGGAGGCAGCAGUGGGGAAUAUUGGACAAUGGGCGCAAGCCUGAGCCAGCCAUGCCGCGUGAGUGAUGAAGGCCUUAGGGUUGUAAAGCUCUUUCACCGGAGAAGAUAAUGACGGUAUCCGGAGAAGAAGCCCCGGCUAACUUCGUGCCAGCCGCCGCCGUAAAAC
rnacentral:rRNA from 1 species